rnacentral:rRNA from 1 species
GUAGGUGGCAAGCGUUGUCCGGAAUUAUUGGGCGUAAAGCGCGCGCAGGUGGUUCUUUAAGUCUGAUGUGAAAGCCCCCGGGCUCAACCGGGGAGGGUCAUUGGAAACUGGGGAACUUGAGUGCAGGAGAGGAAAGUGGAAUUCCACGUGUAGCGGUGAAAUGCGUAGAUAUGUGGAGGAACACCAGUGGCGAAGGCGACUUUCUGGCCUGUAACUGACACUGAGGCGCGAAAGCGUGGGGAGCAAACAGGAUUAGAUACCCUGGUAGUCCACGCCGUAAACGAUGAGUGCUAAGUGUUGGAGGGUUUCCGCCCCUCAGUGCUGCAGCUAACGCAUUAAGCACUCCGCCUGGGGAGUACGGUCGCAAGACUG